rnacentral:rRNA from 1 species
UACGGAGGAUGCAAGCGUUAUCCGGAAUGAUUGGGCGUAAAGCGUCCGCAGGUGGCUGUGUAAGUCUGCUGUUAAAGAGUCUAGCUCAACUAGAUAAGAGCAGUGGAAACUACAUAGCUAGAGUACGUGCGGGGCAGAGGGAAUUCCUGGUGUAGCGGUGAAAUGCGUAGAGAUCAGGAAGAACACCGGUGGCGAAGGCGCUCUGCUAGGCCGUAACUGACACUGAGGGACGAAGGCUAGGGGAGCGAAUGGG